UAUUGGCCAAUGGGGGAAACCCUGAUCCCGCAAUGCCGCGUGAAUUAUGAAGGUCUUAGGGUUGUAAAGUUUUUUCACCUGGCAAGAUAAUGACGGUAGCAGGAGAAGAAGCCCCGGCUAACUCCGUGCCAGCAGCCGCGGUAAGACGGAGGGGGCGAGCGUUGUUCGGAAUGACUGGGCGUAAAGGGCGCGUAGGCGGUUUUUUAAGUGAGGCGUGAAAGCCCUGGGCUUAACCCAGGAGGUGCGUUUCAUACUGGAAAGCUUGAGUACGAGAAAGGAAAGUGGAAUUCCUAGUGUAGAGGUGAAAUUCGUAGAUAUUAGGAAGAACACCAGAGGCGAAGGCGGCUUUCUGGACUAAAAACUGACGCGAGUCGCGAAA
rnacentral:rRNA from 1 species